UACGUAGGGUGCAAGCGUUGUCCGGAAUUAUUGGGCGUAAAGAGCUCGUAGGUGGCGGGUCACGUCGGGUGUGAAAGCCCGGGGCUUAACUCCGGGUCGUGCAUUCGAUACGGGUCUGCUGGGGUCCGGCAGGGGAGACUGGAAUUCCUGGUGUAGCGGUGAAAUGCGCAGAUAUCAGGAGGAACACCGGUGGCGAAGGCAGUUCUCUGGGCCGUAACUGACGCUGAGGAGCGAAAGGCGUGGGGGAGCGAACAGG
rnacentral:rRNA from 1 species